GGUUGCUUGGUUUUUUACUAAACAUUAACUGAAUGAAAACGGGUAGUCCUUGUUCUGCUUGGGGGGCUUUAAGGAAGCAAAUGGACUUUCAGAACAGAGAUUGUCAAUAAAGGAAUAGUGGACAAUGUCCUCUGAGAAGAUUCUAGUGACAUCCAUUAUACUGGAGGCCAAUGCAGAGCUGGAUGGAGGCCUGCGCUGCCUCGAAGCGCUGAGGGAUGCCAUGCCAGCUCCAGGAGAGGUCUUUAUUGUUGAAACUCUUGCAUAAUGACAUCUGUAUUCAGGUGAAUAUACAGGAUGAAUUUCAACUGUAUGAUAUUGUUUAUGUUCAUCAGAAAUGCUAUUUGUCUUUACAACGUCUGGUUUCAAUAAACUGGCUAUGUAAUGGAUAUUAAAUAAACAUGGAAUUUUACACAUUCAUAAUAUUUGGUUUCUUGUUGUGAUUUUGAUGAACUACACUUUCAAGCAUUGUCAGUUCAUCCUUAUUUACAAAGAAACGUUUACUUGUAGCAGAGUGAUGUAGUGACUUGCUUUACUUUAAGAUAAGUCAACUUUUCUAUUCAAUGUUUAAUGUGAAACUGACUUAAAAAUGUUCUUUUAGACCCCAUUUACAUUUCUCUUUGUAUAACAUGCAUUAUACUAUUUUAACUUAAUACUGUGAGCUAUAUAAAGCAAAGACAUUCUAAUUCUGUUUUUAAUGUAUUUUUUGCAA